UAUUUAGGGGGAGAAUAUAUGAAAGGGGGAAGAAAAAGUAAGUUAGCUUUCUUUAGCUGUCUACAACUAAGGGGGAUUAAACUACUCUUUAGUUGUGUACUACUGAGGGGGAGAUUCUUCUUUCAACUAAGGAGGAGGAUUGAUCUUUCAUCUAAGGGGAGACAACUACUUAUCACUAAGGGGAACCUGAUCAAGGUAACGGGAGGAGAAGUAUAAGGUGAUACAAUUAUUCUUCAGUAAGUGGUAGAAAGGAACUUAUUCAUUACCACUGAAGAAUUCAAUGAAGCUGCUGAUUGUUCUUUGCAUAAUGGAAUGUUUUGAAUUCUCUUCAAGACAGACUAUGAGGAUUAUCUGGCAGGUAAGCAAGAACUAGAGAAAUAAAGGUGAUAUGCACAUCUGUUAUUUCUAUUCAUGAAAUCUGGAAAUGUAUUAUAUGAUCCAGAAACUUUGUAGCAUUAUUUACUAGUCCAGGACUUUACUUUUUCUAGUGUUAGUUGAGUUAUCCUCCAGAGGAUUUGCUUGUUAUGAUUAACAAACAAAUAGGGGGAGAUUGUAAGUCUAAAUGUAAAGACAACCCUAUCUGUUACAUAGGGAUGAUAACUCAACAAUAGAACAGGACAAGUAAAUAACACUACGCCUGCA
rnacentral:lncRNA from 1 species